GGCAAGAUGGCCGAGUGGUUAAGGCGGGUGAUUUAAGCCACGUGACUUCACGUGAAUACUCCCCUGAGGCGACUCUCCUGGGUUCGAAUCCCAGUCUUGCCA